CUUUGGACAAUGGUAGGAGAGCGUUCUAAGGGCGUUGAAGCAUGAUCGUAAGGACAUGUGGAGCGCUUAGAAGUGAGAAUGCCGGUGUGAGUAGCGAAAGACGGGUGAGAAUCCCGUCCACCGAUUGACUAAGGUUUCCAGAGGAAGGCUCGUCCGCUCUGGGUUAGUCGGGUCCUAAGCUGAGGCCGACAGGCGUAGGCGAUGGAUAACAGGUUGAUAUUCCUGUACCACCUAUAAUCGUUUUAAUCGAUGGGGGGACGCAGUAGGAUAGGC
rnacentral:rRNA from 1 species